rnacentral:rRNA from 1 species
UUCCUAAAAGUAAUAUAUCUUAGGUAAGCCCUGCCCAGCGUAUUAAAUAAGCGGCCGCAGUAUAUUAACUGUGCAAAGGUAGCAUAAUAACUUGCCUACUAAUUAUAGGCUAGAAUGAAUGGGUUAACAUAAAUUAAACUUUCUCUUUUAGGUAAUUAAAAAUUAAUAUAAAAGUGAAGAAGCUUUUAUACCUAUGAAGGACAAGAAGACCCUAUAGAGCUUAAUCCUCUUUACUACAUGAUUUUGUAGUCAACAGAUUUGGUUGGGGCGACUGGGGAUAUAUAUAUCCACCCUUUAUAUCUAUGAUUUACACAUCUUAUAUAUGAUCCAAAUUAUGAUCAAAGAAAUAAGUUACCUUAGGGAUAACAGACUUAUUUUCUUUAAGAGUUCAAAUCUACAAGAAAGAUUGGCACCUCGAUGUUGGCUUAGGGUAUCUUUUUAGAGCAAAAACUAAUAAGAAGGUUGUCACC